GCGAGAGUGGCGGAAUUGGUAGACGCACCAGAUUUAGGUUCUGGCGGGGCAACCCGUGCGGGUUCGAGUCCCGCCUUUCGCACCA
rnacentral:tRNA from 1 species